CUUGUUGUCCGGUGUGGGUGUCUCCGUCUCCGGCCCGUUCGACCACAGGACGUGCCGGAGAAGCCGUUCGCCGUCGCCCAGGAACCUGUCGCCGACGAAUUCCUCCGCCCGGUCGAAGAUCCGCGGGUCCCUGGUGGCGAAGGGCUGGUAGCCGAAGAGCAUCUCGCCGCGCCGCACCUCGAAGGCGGCGUCGUGGCUCUCGAUCACCAGGUCGCGCUUGGCCUUGCCGUACUGGAACGGCACGGGCGGCUCGAUCCGGAAAGCCUCGUACACCACCGACUUCAGCAGGGGCAUCUCCUCGAUGGCCCUCAUCGUCACCUGCCCGCCGUGGGCCUGGACGGCGCUCCGGACCUCCUCCGCUAGCCGGGUGUGCAGCGCCGCCCCCGCCCGCCCGACCCACUUCAUGAUGGACGGGAAGAAGAUUUUCAAGCCCCCAAAGGUGUUGAAGCACAUGGCGAACAGGAUAUUGUGGCAGGCCUCCUCCCGGGAGAUCCCCAUCCGCUCCGCCUCGUCCAGAGCCGGCGCCGCCGCCGAGUAGAAGAAGUCGUAGAGCCGCCGGUAGUCGGAUUGAACCAGGCCGGUGGGUAGGCGGACGCUGUGGAGGAGAACGUCCUCCAGCAGAUAGGGCAGGCCUAGCGUGAGAAUGGGACCGAGCUGGAAGAGAACCCAUUUGUUCACCAGACCGGGGCCGUCCGAUCCAAGCCCGCCCCCGGCGGGGUCCUUCCCGAAGAAGGCCCUGCAGACGAAGUUGAAGGAGGCCUGCUCGUUCGCCGAGCUGAAGUUGGCGGCUCCCUUCUCUGCGAGCUCCGACUCGAGGGCGUCGAACGCGGUGCCGAACGAGCUCUGGAACUCGGGGAUCAAGGUGUUCCGUGAGGACCCCAGCAGGUAGAAGAGGAAGUUCUUGAGCAGUGCGUGGUUGGGCUCCGACGGGUCGAGGUAGGAGAGCACGCGGUAGCCGCCGGUGAGAUCCAAGGAGGGCAUGAAGGUGCCGGUGAAGAGAUCCUUCUUCUCGACCUUGGAGGUGUCGAAGAGGACGGGGAAGGCGGCGCCGUCGAGUAGGGCAAUCACGCCGGGGUUGGCGGCGAGGGGCGGGCCCGGCGGCAUGUUCAGCCGGACGACGGUG
rnacentral:lncRNA from 1 species